rnacentral:tRNA from 1 species
UCAUUAAGAAGCUAUAUGGAACAGCAACAGCCUUUUAAGUUGUAGAUAGGUGAUUCCAACCACCCUUAAUGAA